rnacentral:rRNA from 1 species
CCGUUCGGGUUGUAAAGCUUCUUUUGUCGAAGGGAAAGGAAACGGGUUGGUUUCUUAAUACAGAUCACUAAUGACGGUACCUGAAGAAUAAGCACCGGCUAACUACGUGC